GAUCCUGCCCGGGCAGCGACGGCGUCUCGAUCAAGCCCCUUCAGUUGUUGGCUCAAGCGCUCCGCGCCUUGGCCGAUGUCGGUUUCCUGUGCUGAAUUCCUCACGGGUGGAAAUCUCUCGUCCACCAACGUCUCGUUCUCCUCCCCUCAUAGAGCCUCAUCAAGGAGACGCGGCGCGGGGAGGACAUCGAGGCGCACGUCGUAUCUCGGAACCCACGCGCCCGCUCGCCCGGGCGCGCCAGGGCUUUCGACACACGACGUCGUGCCCGAUCUCUCGGAUGCAGAAAACCAAGCGGCCAGAGGCCGCUGCCUCUUCUGCCCCUUAUAAGAGCG
rnacentral:misc_RNA from 1 species